AUUGAACGCUGGCGGCAUGCCUUACACAUGCAAGUCGAACGGCAGCACGGGUGCUUGCACCUGGUGGCGAGUGGCGAACGGGUGAGUAAUAUAUCGGAACGUACCUUAUUGUGGGGGAUAACGCAGCGAAAGCUGUGCUAAUACCGCAUAAUCCCUAAGGGAAAAAGCGGGGGACCGUAAGGCCUCCCGCAAUUAGACCGGCCGAUACCUGAUUAGCCAGUUGGAGAGGUAAAGGCUCACCAAGGCAACGAUCAGUAGCCGGUCUGAGAGGACGAUCAGCCACACUGGGACUGAGACACGGCCCAGACUCCUGCGGGAGGCAGCAGUGGGGAAUUUUGGACAAUGGGGGCAACCCUGAUCCAGCAAUGCCGCGUGAGUGAAGAAGGCCUUCGGGUUGUAAAGCUCUUUUGUCAGGGAAGAAACAGCAGCUCUAACACAGUUUGCGAAUGACGGUACCUGAAGAAUAAGCACCGGCUAACUACGUGCCAGCCGCCGCCGUAA
rnacentral:rRNA from 1 species